rnacentral:rRNA from 1 species
AGCGUAGACGGCGCAGCAAGUCUGAUGUGAAAGGCAGGGGCUUAACCCCUGGACUGCAUUGGAAGCUGCUGUGCUUGAGUGCCGGAGGGGUAAGCGGAAUUCCUAGUGUAGCGGUGAAAUGCGUAGAUAUUAGGAGGAACACCAGUGGCGAAGGCGGCUUACUGGACGGUAACUGACGUUGAGGCUCGAAAGCGUGGGGAGGCAAACA